GACGAACGCUGGCGGCGUGCUUAACACAUGCAAGUCGAACGGAAAGGCCUCUUUCGGGGGGUACUCGAGUGGCGAACGGGUGAGUAACACGUGAGUAACCUGCCCUUGACUUUGGGAUAACUUCCGGAAACUGGGGCUAAUACCGGAUAGGAGCUCCUGCUGCAUGGUGGGGGUUGGAAAGUUUCGGCGGUUGGGGGUGGACUGGCGGCUUAUCAGCUUGUUGGUGGGGUAGUGGCUUACCAAGGCUUUGACGGGUAGCCGGCCUGGGAGGGUGACCGGCCACAUUGGGACUGAGAUCCGGCCCAGAGUCCUACGGGAGGCAGCAGUGGGGAAGAUUGCACAAUGGGUGGAAGCCUGAUGCAGCAAGGCCGAGGGCGGGAUGACGGACUUCGGGUUGUAAACCGCUUUCGCUCAUGACGAAGCUUUGUGUGACGGUAGUGGGUAAAGAAGCACCGGCUAACUACGUG
rnacentral:rRNA from 1 species